CAGUAAUACAUCCGUCAGUCACAGAAGAGAGACAUUUCAUCUGUUUACUCCACCAUUAUCUUUGUGCUGUUUGAUCGCUUGUUAAAUCUUUGCACAGUACCUGGAUAAAGAGUAUCAACAUGUGCAGGCUGACUCUAACUGCAGGU